CCUACGGGCGGCAGCAGUGAGGAAUAUUGGGCAAUGGAGGCAACUCUGACCCAGCCAUGCCGCGUGAGUGAAGAAGGUUUUCGGAUUGUAAAGCUCUUUCGGCUGUGACGAUGAUGCCGGUAACAUCUAAAGAAGCCCCGGCUAACUUCGUUCCAGCAGCCGCGGUAAUACGAAGGGGGAAAGCGGUGUUCGGAAUUACUGGGCGUAAAGGGAGUGUAGGCGGUUUGGUAAGAUAGUGGUGAAAUCCCAGAGCUUAACUUUGGGAUUGCCAUUAUAACUAUUAGACUAGAAUUACAGAGAGGAUAGUGGAAUACCCAGUGUAGAGGUGAAAUGCGUAGAUAUUGGGUAGAACACCAGUGGCGAAGGCGACUAUCUGGCUGUACAUUGACGCUGAGGCUCGAAAGCAUGGGGAUCAAACAGGAUUAGAUACCCGAGUAGUC
rnacentral:rRNA from 1 species